rnacentral:rRNA from 1 species
GUCGAACGGACUCAUACUGAAACCUAGUGAUUUAUGAGUUAGUGGCGGACGGGUGAGUAACGCGUGGAUAACCUGCCGUAUACCGGGGGAUAACACUUAGAAAUAGGUGCUAAUACCGCAUGAGCGCACAGCUCCGCAUGGGGCGGUGUGAAAAACUCCGGUGGUAUACGAUGGAUCCGCGUCUGAUUAGCCAGUUGGCGGGGUAACGGCCCACCAAAGCGACGAUCAGUAGCCGGCCUGAGAGGGUGAACGGCCACAUUGGGACUGAGACACGGCCCAGACUCCUACGGGAGGCAGCAGUGGGGAAUAUUGCACAAUGGGGGAAACCCUGAUGCAGCGACGCCGCGUGAGUGAAGAAGUAUCUCGGUAUGUAAAGCUCUAUCAGCAGGAAAGAUAAUGAUGGUACCUGACUAAGAAGCCCCGGCUAACUACGUGCCAGCAGCCGCGGUAAUACGUAGGGGGCAAGCGUUAUCCGGAUUUACUGGGUGUAAAGGGAGCGUAGACGGCAGCGCAAGUCUGGAGUGAAAUGCCGGGGCCCAACCCCGGAACUGCUUUGGAAACUGUGCGGCUCGAGUGCGGGAGAGGUAGGCGGAAUUCCUAGUGUAGCGGUGAAAUGCGUAGAUAUUAGGAGGAACACCAGUGGCGAAGGCGGCUUACUGGACCGUAACUGACGUUGAGGCUCGAAAGCGUGGGGAGUAAACAGGAUUAGAUACCCUGGUAGUCCACGCCGUAAACG